rnacentral:rRNA from 1 species
UACGGAGGGUGCAAGCGUUAAUCGGAAUUACUGGGCGUAAAGCGCGCGCAGGCGGUCUUCCAAGUCAGUGGUGAAAGCCUGGAGCUCAACUCCAGAACUGCCAUUGAAACUGUUGGACUUGAGUACGAGAGAGGUGAGUGGAAUUCCCAGUGUAGAGGUGAAAUUCGUAGAUAUUGGGAAGAACACCAGUGGCGAAGGCGGCUCACUGGCUCGUAACUGACGCUCAGGCGCGACAGCGUGGGGAUCAAACAGG